GAGUCUCACCUCGCAGGACCAGGCUAACCACACACAAGAAAAAAGCGGAAAAGGGAAAUUCAUCUGGAAAACAUGCUUUGACAUGUCUCAAGGAGGCUCAACAGUCCAGAAGAGAAGACAGUGAUGAUGAAGCGAUGAGGGGAUCUGAGAUGCAGCAUGACAGUGAAGACGACAGUGAGGAUGACUCUGAAUCCAGCUCUGAAUCCAGCUCUGACAGGAUAAGGAGAAAAAGGCGAAGAAAAGCAAACAUCGCUCUCGCCUGCGGGUUGGAGGACCAGGUGA